AGAGUUUGAUCUGGCUCAGAUUGAACGCUGGCGGCAUGCCUUACACAUGCAAGUCGGACGGCAGCGCGGGGGCAACCCUGGCGGCGAGUGGCGAACGGGUGAGUAAUACAUCGGAACGUGUCCUGGAGUGGGGGAUAGCCCGGCGAAAGCCGGAUUAAUACCGCAUACGAUCUAGGGAUGAAAGCGGGGGACCGAAAGGCCUCGCGCUCAAGGGGCGGCCGAUGGCGGAUUAGCUAGUUGGUGGGGUAAAGGCCUACCAAGGCGACGAUCUGUAGCUGGUCUGAGAGGACGACCAGCCACACUGGGACUGAGACACGGCCCAGACUCCUACGGGAGGCAGCAGUGGGGAAUUUUGGACAAUGGGGGCAACCCUGAUCCAGCAAUGCCGCGUGUGUGAAGAAGGCCUUCGGGUUGUAAAGCACUUUUGUCCGGAAAGAAAACCUCCGUCCUAAUACGGUGGGGGGAUGACGGUACCGGAAGAAUAAGCACCGGCUAACUACGUGCCAGCAGCCGCGGUAAUACGUAGGGUGCAAGCGUUAAUCGGAAUUACUGGGCGUAAAGCGUGCGCAGGCGGUUCGCUAAGUCCGAUGUGAAAUCCCCGGGCUUAACCUGGGACUGCAUUGGUGACUGGCGGGCUAGAGUAUGGCAGAGGGGGGUAGAAUUCCACGUAGCAGUGAAAUGCGUAGAGAUGUGGAGGAAUACCGAUGGCGAAGGCAGCCCCCUGGGCCAAUACUGACGCUCAUGCACGAAAGCGUGGGGAGCAAACAGGAUUAGAUACCCUAGUAGUCC
rnacentral:rRNA from 1 species